rnacentral:rRNA from 1 species
AUCGGCUUGCGGGUCGAUGUGAGCCAACGGUGAGAUACCACUCUUUGCGAGCUAGGGUUCUAACGGCCACCCGUCAUCCGGGGGCCGGACAGUACCUGGUGGGCAGUUUGACUGGGGCGGUCGCCUCCUAAAAGGUAACGGAGGCGCGCAAAGGUUUGCUCAGGCUGGUUGGAAAUCAGCCGACGAGUGUAAAAGCAGAAGCAAGCUUGACUGUGAGACCAACAAGUCGAACAGGGAGGAAACUCGGCUUUAGUGAUCCGACGGUUCUGAGUGGAAGGGCCGUCGCUCAACGGAUAAGAGUUACUCUAGGGAUAAC